rnacentral:lncRNA from 1 species
CUAGUUCUCAUCAACAUGUAUAGUAUAAUCACUCAUACUGUACAGUACUGUGAGGGUUCUAGUUCUCAUCAACAUGUAUAGUAUAACACUCAUACUGUAUAGUACUGUGAUGGUUCUAGUUCUCAUCAACAUGUAUAGUAUAAUCACUCAUACUGUACGGUACUGUGAGGGUUCUAGUUCUCAUCAACAUGUAUAGUAUAAUCACUCAUACUGUACAGUACUGUGAGGGUUCUAGUUCUCAUCAACAUGUAUAGUAUAAUCACUCAUACUGUACAGUACUGUGAGGGUUCUAGUUCUCAUCAACAUGUAUAGUAUAAUCACUCAUACUGUACAGUACUGUGAGGGUUCUAGUUCUCAUCAACAUGCAUAGUAUAAUCACUCAUACUGUACAGUACUGUGAGGUUUCUAGUUCUCAUCAACAUGUAUAGUAUAACACUCAUACUGUACAGUACUGUGAGGGUUCUAGUUCUCAUCAACAUGCAUAGUAUAAUCACUCAUACUGUACAGUACUGUGAGGGUUCUAGUUCUCAUCAACAUGUCUAGUAUAACACUCAUACUGUACAGUACUGUGAGGGUUCUAGUUCUCAUCAACAUGUCUAGUAUAACACUCAUACUGUACAGUACUGUGAGGGUUCUAGUUCUCAUCAACAUGUGUAGUAUAAUCACUCAUACUGUACAGUACUGUGAGGGUUCUAGUUCUCAUCAACAUGUAUAGUAUAAUCACUCAUACUGUACAGUACUGUGAGGGUUCUAGUUCUCAACAACAUGUAUAGUAUAAUCACUCAUGCUGAACAGUACUGUGAGGGUUCUAGUUCUCAUCAACAUGUAUAGUAUAAUCACUCAUACUGUACAGUACUGUGAGGGUUCUAGUUCUCAUCAACAUGUAUAGUAUAAUCACUCAUACUGUACGGUACUGUGAGGGUUCUAGUUCUCAUCAACAUGUAUAGUAUAACACUCAUACUGUACAGUACUGUGAGGGUUCUAGUUCUCAUCAACAUGUAUAGUAUAAUCACUCAUGCUGUACAGUACUGUGAGGGUUCUAGUUCUCAACAACAUGUAUAGUAUAAUCACUCAUGCUGAACAGUACUGUGAGGGUUCUAGUUCUCAUCAACAUGUAUAGUAUAAUCACUCAUACUGUACAGUACUGUGAGGGUUCUAGUUCUCAACAACAUGUAUAGUAUAAUCACUCAUACUGUACAGUACUGUGAGGGUUCUAGUUCUCAACAACAUGUAUAGUAUAAUCACUCAUACUGUACAGUACUGUGAGGGUUCUAGUUCUCAACAACAUGUAUAGUAUAAUCACUC